rnacentral:lncRNA from 1 species
GCUGCAGACGCUGAGCGCCAUGUCGGCGUCGGACGAGCUGGACGAUGCCCAGGUGCGGCAGCUGCUCUUCGACCUCGAGUCGGCCUACAACGCCUUCAACCGCUGCCUGCACGCCUGAGCACAACCGCAACCGGAACCGGAACCGGAACCAGAGCUGGAACUGGAACCGGAACUGGAACCGGAACCAGAGCUGGAACCGGAACCGGAACCAGAACCGGCACCACUGGCACCACCGUGACACUGACACCGGAACCAGAGCUGGAACCGGAACCAGAGCUGGAACUGGAACCGGAACCAGAGCUGGAACUGGAACCGGAACCAGAGCUGGAACUGGAACCGGAACCAGAGCUGGAACUGGAACUGGAACCAGAGCUGGAACUGGAACCGGAACCAGAACCGGAACCGGCACCACUGGCACCACCGUGACACUGACACCAGAACCGGAACCAGAACUGGAACCAGAACCGGAACUGGCACCACUGUGACGUUGACACCGGAACUGGCACCGGAACCAGAACUGGCACUGGAACCAGAACCAGCACCGGAACUGGCACCAGAACCGGAACUGCAACCGGAACCAGCACCACUGGCACCACCAUGACACUGACACCGGAACUGGAACUGGCACUCGAACCAGAACCAGAACCGACACCACCAUGACACUGACACUGGAACUGGAACUGGAACUGGGGCCAGAACCGGCACCACCGUGACACCGACACCGGAACCGGCACCACCGUGACACCGGCAUCACCGUGACACCAACACCGGCACCACCACGACACCGGAACUGGCACCGCUGUGGCACCGUGACACCGACACCGGAACCGGCACCACCCUGUCAAGAUCACAACGGCACCGGCACCACCGCGGGACCAGAACCAGCAUCACCGUGCCACCGGCUCCACCACGUCACCGUCACCACCGCGGCACCGGUGCAACCGCGCCACCGGCACUGGCACCACCGUGUCACCAUCACCGCUGUGUCACCGUCACCACCACGGCACCAGCACCACCGCGUCACCAUCACU